UACGAAGGGGGGCUAGCGUUGCUCGGAAUCACUGGGCGUAAAGCGCACGUAGGUGGUUUGCUAAGUCAGCUGUGAAAUCCCCGGGCUCAACCUGGGCACUGCAGUUGAAACUGGCAAGCUAGAGUAGGGUAGAGGGGUGUGGAAUUCCAGGUGUAGCGGUGAAAUGCGUAGAUAUCUGGAGGAACAUCAGUGGCGAAGGCGACACCCUGGACUCAUACUGACACUGAGGUGCGAAAGCGUGGGGAGCAAACAGG
rnacentral:rRNA from 1 species